rnacentral:rRNA from 1 species
UGGGGAAUUUUGGACAAUGGGGAAACCCUGAUCCAGCCAUCCCGCGUGUGCGAUGAAGGCCUUCGGGUUGUAAAGCACUUUUGGCAGGAAAGAAAUGUCGCGGGUUAAUACCCGCGAAACUGACGGUACCUGCAGAAUAAGCACCGGCUAACUACGUGCCAGCAGCCGCGGUAAUACGUAGGGUGCAAGCGUUAAUCGGAAUUACUGGGCGUAAAGCGUGCGCAGGCGGUUCGGAAAGAAAGAUGUGAAAUCCCAGAGCUUAACUUUGGGAACUGCAUUUUUAACUACCGGGCUAGAGUGUGUCAGAGGGAGGUGGAAUUCCGCGUGUAGCAGUGAAAUGCGUAGAUAUGCGGAGGAACACCGAUGGCGAAGGCAGCCUCCUGGGAUAACACUGACGCUCAUGCACGAAAGCGUGGGGAGCAAACAGGAUUAGAUACCCUGGUAGUCCACGCCCUAAACGAUGUCAACUAGCUGUUGGGGCCUUCGGGCCUUGGUAGCGCAGCUAACGCGUGAAGUUGACCGCCUGGGGAGUACGGUCGCAAGAUUAAAACUUAAAUGAAUUGAC